UACGUAGGGGGCAAGCGUUGUCCGGAUUUAUUGGGCGUAAAGAGCGUGUAGGCGGCCACACAGGUCCGCUGUGAAAACUCGAGGCUCAACCUCGAGCUGUCGGUGGAAACCGUGUGGCUAGAGUCCGGAAGAGGAGAGUGGAAUUCCUGGUGUAGCGGUGAAAUGCGCAGAUAUCAGGAAGAACACCCGUGGCGAAAGCGGCUCUCUGGAACGGUACUGACGCUGAGACGCGAAAGCGUGGGGAGCGAACAGG
rnacentral:rRNA from 1 species